GUAGGUGGGCAAGCGUUGUCCGGAAUUAUUGGGCGUAAAGCGCGCGCAGGGCGGUCCUUUAAGUCUGGGUGUGAAAGCCCACGGGCUCAACCGUGAGGGUCAUUGGAAACUGGGGGACUUGAGUACAGAAGAGGAAAGCGGAAUUCCAAGUGUAGCGGUGAAAUGCGUAGAGAUUUGGAGGAACACCAGUGGCGAAGGCGGCUUUCUGGUCUGUAACUGACGCUGAGGCGCGAAAGCGUGGGGAGCAAACAGGAUUAGAUACCCUGGUAGUCCACGCCGUAAACGAUGAGUGCUAAGUGUUAGGGGGUUUCCGCCCCUUAGUGCUGCAGCUAACGCAUUAAGCACACCGCCUGGGAGUACGGCCGCAAAGGCUG
rnacentral:rRNA from 1 species